GCUUAACACAUGCAAGUCGAGGGGCAGCAUCAUCAAAGCUUGCUUUGAUGGAUGGCGACCGGCGCACGGGUGAGUAACACGUAUCCAACCUGCCGACAACACUGGGAUAGCCUUUCGAAAGAAGGAUUAAUACCGGAUGGUAUAGUUUUCCCGCAUGGGAUAAUUAUUAAAGAAUUUCGGUUGUCGAUGGGGAUGCGUUCCAUUAGGCAGUUGGCGGGGUAACGGCCCACCAAACCUACGAUGGAUAGGGGUUCUGAGAGGAAGGUCCCCCACAUUGGAACUGAGACACGGUCCAAACUCCUACGGGAGGCAGCAGUGAGGAAUAUUGGUCAAUGGACGAGAGUCUGAACCAGCCAAGUAGCGUGAAGGAUGACUGCCCUAUGGGUUGUAAACUUCUUUUAUACGGGAAUAAAGUUAGCCACGUGUGGUUUUUUUGUAUGUACCGUAUGAAUAAGGAUCGGCUAACUCCGUGCCAGCAGCCGCGGUAAUACGGAGGAUCCGAGCGUUAUCCGGAUUUAUUGGGUUUAAAGGGAGCGUAGGCGGGUUGUUAAGUCAGUUGUGAAAGUUUGCGGCUCAACCGUAAAAUUGCAGUUGAUACUGGCGACCUUGAGUGCAACAGAGGUAGGCGGAAUUCGUGGUGUAGCGGUGAAAUGCUUAGAUAUCACGAAGAACUCCGAUUGCGAAGGCAGCUUACUGGAUUGUAACUGACGCUGAUGCUCGAAAGUGUGGGUAUCAAACAGGAUUAGAUACCCUGGUAGUCCACACAGUAAACGAUGAAUACUCGCUGUUGGCGAUAUACAGUCAGCGGCCAAGCGAAAGCAUUAAGUAUUCCACCUGGGGAGUACGCCGGCAACGGUGAAACUCAAAGGAAUUGACGGGGGCCCGCACAAGCGGAGGAACAUGUGGUUUAAUUCGAUGAUACGCGAGGAACCUUACCCGGGCUUAAAUUGCAACUGACGGAACCGGAAACGGUUCUUUCUUCGGACAGUUGUGAAGGUGCUGCAUGGUUGUCGUCAGCUCGUGCCGUGAGGUGUCGGCUUAAGUGCCAUAACGAGCGCAACCCUUACGGGUAGUUACCAUCAGGUUAUGCUGGGGACUCUACCCGGACUGCCGUCGUAAGAUGUGAGGAAGGUGGGGAUGACGUCAAAUCAGCACGGCCCUUACGUCCGGGGCUACACACGUGUUACAAUGGGGGGUACAGAAGGCAGCUACACGGCGACGUGGUGCUAAUCCCAAAAGCCUCUCUCAGUUCGGAUUGGAGUCUGCAACCCGACUCCAUGAAGCUGGAUUCGCUAGUAAUCGCGCAUCAGCCACGGCGCGGUGAAUACGUUCCCGGGCCUUGUACACACCGCCCGUCAAGCCAUGAAAGCCGGGGGUACCUGAAGUACGUAACCAAGAGGAGCGUCCUAGGGUAAAACUGGUGAUUGGGGCU
rnacentral:rRNA from 1 species